rnacentral:rRNA from 1 species
AGACCUUUAUCCUGGCUCAAGAUGAACGCUGGCGGCCUGCCUAACACAUGCAAGUCAAACGAUUAACCCACCUUCCGGUGGUUAUAGAGUGGCCAACCGGUGAGUAACACGAGAGCAACCAACCCCACACUUUGGGACCACCUGUCGAAAGACAGGCUAAUACCGAAUAUUCUCUUCUUUCCACACGGAUUGAAGAGGAAAGCUCUGGCGGUGUGGGACGGGCUCGCGGUCCAUUAGGUAGUUGGUGAGGUAACGGCCCACCAAGCCCACGAUGGAUAGCCGGACUGAGAGGUUGAUCGGCCACAUUGGGACUGAGAUACGGCCCAGACUCCUACGGGAGGCAGCAGUGGGGAAUAUUGCGCAAUGGGGGAAACCCUGACGCAGCAACGCCGUGUGCAGGACGAAGGCUUUCGGGUUGUAAACUGCUUUCAGUAGGGAAGAUUCAGACGGUACCUACAGAAGAAGCCCCGGCUAAAUACGUGCCAGCAGCCGCGGUAAUACGUAUGGGGCAAGCGUUAUCCGGAUUCAUUGGGCGUAAAGCGCGCGCAGGCGGGCUGUUAAGCGAGGCCUCUAAUCCCAGGGCUCAACCUUGGGCCGGGCCUCGAACUGGCAGCCUCGAGUGAGGUAGAGGUAGAUGGAAUUCCCGGUGUAGCGGUGGAAUGCGCAGAUAUCGGGAAGAACACCGACAGCGAAGGCAGUCUACUGGGCCUUUACUGACGCUGAGGCGCGAAAGCUGGGGGAGCAAACAAAAGUAGCUACCCUGGUAGUCCCAGCCGUAACCGAUCCUUAAAAGGUGUGGGGAGAAUUCUCUUUCCGUGCCAACGCUAACGCAUUAAGGCUCCGCCUGGAGA